AAUGUUUUUAAAACAAGUGGAUAAGUUGAAUUAAAUUAAAUGACCUGAAUGCAAGGUGUCAAUAGUAGGCCUAUUCCGUUUCUUAAAUGUAUUGCGCAAAGCAAUGUAGUGGAUAUAUAAAUAUUGCAUUUAUGUCUAUGAAUUACCAGUAUGUGCAACUUUGAAGUGGACGGAUAAUGAGUUUGAACGGGGAAAAAUGUCGGCUAAACAUCACUACCGCCCUCCCCUUUAAUUAAGAUCUCCUUGAUACUCUGUGGAGUAAACUCACUCACCAUUGCAAGAAAGUUGCCGACAAGGACAAUGCUUCUUCUGCUGCCCAAGUCAUGAGCGGUCCCCGUCACAACGGAAAAACCGAAGGAUUCAAGUAUUUACAUGUUGCAUUGAGAAAACAACCACGCACAUCGAAACACGGCAGAAGUGUCAUAUCCCCCUGGUCUGAUGGUGUCGUAUCCCCCUGCUUCUUCCUUCCCUGGUCUGAUGGUGUUGUAUCCCCCUGGUCUGAUGGUGUCGUAUCCCCAUGCUUCUUCCUUCCCUGGUCUGGUUUGAUGGUGUCGUAUCCCCCUGGUCAGAAAUCUUGCUUGUUUGUAGGUGACCAAAUACUUAUUUUCCACCAUAAUUUGCAAAUAAAUUCAUAAAAAAUCCUACAAUGUGAUUUUCUGGAUUUUUUUCUUCUCAUUUUGUCUGUCAUAGUUGAAGUGUACCUAUGAUGAAAAUUACAGGCCUCAUCUUUUUAAGUGGGAGAACUUGCACAAUUGGUGGCUGACUAAAUACUUUUUUGCCCCACUGUACAUUCCGUUUACAUGUAAAUGAAUUGAGUUCUAGUAGGGUAACAUGAAUCAGUACAUUUCAAGCUAGAGUCUAACAAGUGUUUACAGUGUUUACUCUGCAUGUUACGUGUUCAGCGUUUCCGGUGUUACUCUGUAAGCAUUUCACUGUACCGAUUACACACACGAUAUCCUGUGCACGUGACGAAUACACUUUCAUUUGAUUUAUAGUAAGGGGAUGUAAGUGAAUGUAGUUCUCUUAUCAGACCAAUGGACCAGAUGGAACACUAACUCAACAUUAAUUAUAUUAUUAUCUAGUUCUUAAUAACGUUCCAUUUCAGAUGGAUUGGAGUCUCCCUGUGUAGAUCCAUGAUGGCCGUCGUCUUGACCACAGCAGCUGAA
rnacentral:lncRNA from 13 species